GCUGUGAUGGCCGAGAGGUGAAGGUGUUGGACUUGAAAUCCAAUGGGGAUCCCCCUCGCAGGUUCGAAUCCUGCUCACACCA